CCUGUUGGCAGGUGCCUUCUCAAAGGCCCCAUCGUCCUCCACUUCCUGAGGAGGCAGCAGCAGAACAAAGCUAGCAGAGACUUCUUUUCUUUUCUUCGUCCAGCCACGACUGCCUCAGCCUCUGCCUCCCGGCACCAUCCUGGGGAAGGACAAGAUGAAGUGGACAGCGCUUGUUAUCGUGGCCAUCCUGCAGGCACAGUUUCCAAUUACAGCUGCGCAGAGCUUCGGCCUGCUUGAUCCCAAACUCUGCUACCUGUUGGAUGGGAUCCUCUUCAUCUAUGGUGUCAUCAUCACUGCCCUGUUCCUGAGAGAGAAGUUCAGCAGGAGCGCGGACGUCUCCGCCUACCAGUCGGGCCAGAACCAGGUCUAUAACGAACUCAAUAUCGGACGAAGAGAGGAGUAUGCGGUCUUGGAUAGAAGAGGGGGCCUGGAUCCUGAGAUGGGGGGAAAACCGCAGAGGAAGAAGAAUCCCCAUGAAGUCGUGUACAAUGUGAGUACAGGAGGCGGUGCAUUUUCCCUUAGAAGAUUGGAGGGUAGGGCUAGGGGAGGGCUCUGGAUGAAGGCUUUGCUCCCUACUCCAUGGUCUUUGCCUGUCUUGACCUUCAUUUCCCUGGGUCAAAUAAUGCCUCACUUGCUUGCUGCCUGCAGUGGCUGCUUGUAGGAAACCCCUUGGCUUGCCCUCCCUCGGCCACCCCCGGAGCUUGUUGCUGGAGUUUCCCCAUCAGCCUGGUGGAGACCUCGGGGAACAGUGAGGUCAGGCUGGGCAACUGCCUCAGAGGGCCUCCUGUUCCUAGGAGCUCCAGUAGUCUUCUGAGUGUCUUGUUGAAAGGUCAGCCUCCCCAUCCUGGGUGUUGACCUGGGUCUGCCACAAAGGGGGCCAUUGAAGAGGGUAACCUAGUGUAAAGAGAGCACUUCCCCUUUCCUCUAGCAAUUCCUCCGUGGUGGUGGCUGUGUAAGGAGACAACUUGCUCCAGUAAAUGGUUCUGGGGGGCUCCGGGUGAGCCCUUGCAUUGUCCAGCAUGAGUGUCCUUCAGCUAGGACCCCGCAUCUUUUUGAACCUAACUUGAGCUUCUCAGCUUCAGUACAAAGGGCUGGUGGCUCAGAGAAGGUUCCAAAGUGCUGAGGAGGAGUGUGGCAUCGGAGCCGGGUUUUGGCAGAGACGUUUGUGUGAAUAAGGCCUGGAGCCUUGACUCUGGAAGCCCCCCACCACCUUGGGAGUCCAGAGGCUUCCUCUUAUAGGGGAGCCCACUGCUUUGUACAUCAGUUGAUAAAACCAGUGUCUCACGCCCUCUUCUUCUCCAGGAGCUGCGAAAAGACAAGAUGGCAGAGGCCUACAGUGAGAUUGGGAUGAAGGGUGAGAACCAGCGGCGAAGAGGCAAGGGGCACGAUGGCCUUUACCAGGGACUCAGCACGGCCACCAAGGACACCUAUGAUGCCCUCCACAUGCAGACCCUGCCGCCUCGCUAACAGCACUAGAGAUUUCACCACCCACAGGCCAGACCUGCAGACACCCAGAUUGUUCAAGACCCAAGAAAAGCAUUUACAACCCGUUUUACUCUUAUUUCUCUACCACCCAAGUAUUCCUCUUUAUGAACAGGAUGCUUCCAGUUGUAACAUUUGGUUAUAUUCCCAUUCCAAACUGUCACAGAGUUCUUCCCUGGACGCUAGGAGGGAGUGUGUCCCCCAGGCCUUAUGCUUGAGGAGCCCGCUGUGAGUGCAGCAUGCUGUGUUCUGGUUUCCCAGAGGCCGUGGGCCGGCCCAGCUCUGUGCAGCUCCAGGCUCUGACCUGGGAGACGGGCACCCUCCUUUUCACACACACAGCUGGGUUCAGGCUAAAUCCCCAAAGAAACCCCAGAUGUUAGUGCACACUCAUCAUCUGUAUUGUUCUGUCAGUAUUGGAAUGGCUUCGCUUCUGCUGUAAAUUUGGCUUCUGUUGUCAGCGAACCCUCUCAUUUCUUGGUGACUGGGCCGGGGAGGCUGUUCUGCCACCCCGUGAAGGAUCCGGGCAGAGGGGAAGAUGGGAGUUGGUAGCAGCCAGAGGAGGCUGAAGAGGGAAGCAGUGGUGGCUCAGGGAUGGGAGCAGGGAGCCAGAGGCCCGGGAGGGGGGCAGGAAAGGACCCCCCCUGCAAUCAAGCAUAUGUUCCCCGUUAUAGAACUUGUGUGCCAGACCCUGUGGGGACCAGAAGAUAAAGAAGCCUAUCUUUGCCCCCGUGGAGCCCACACUCACAGGGCAGCAAGUUGUGAAGAGUCUGGUGUGAGAGAAUGUUAGGCACUUGCUCACCUCACACUGUGUCCAAGACAAACCUGUCACGGGGAGACCUCCAAGGGAGACUCGGCACCACUCAGCCCCAGAAAGAUCCCACAGGACAGUGGCAUGGAAGCGCCUUGGCCAACUUAGUGCGACAGUGCUGUGUAAUAAAGUGCAUGUGGCCACGGAUGGAAAACCCUCUCUGCUCCGCUUGGUCUUAAUUUAUACUGGUUUGCUAGAGCCUUAAUCUUCUGCGUAAUAAAGGCUUCAGUGCAAAAUGCCACUUUACUGGAAGCUUUAUUUCAGGGCAGUAGAGCCUGUUAAUGGUCAUUUAGUUGUCAGGAAAUCAGCCUGUUGCUCCUGCAGUGGGAACAAAACUGCCGAUUCUUGGGUGAAAAAAAGAUGGUUCCUUGGAACGUGCAGGAGAGCAAGGUGCACCAGUGGUCCAGAAUGUGGCACCAGGCCAGCAACGCGGUGUGUCGAGAUGGGCCAGGCCUUACUCAGGAACUGAGAAAGAUGGGAAGAGGGCCCUGGCGUGCAGGGCUCAGCAUGGAGAUAGGUAGCUUGUGGUGAGCAGGUGAAAGAGUGGGAGAGAGGCCAGCUGAGCAUUCGAGCCUUGGGAAGAGGCAGCGUUGUUGACAGAGGGUGUCUGAGGUUAGAAACAGCCACCAAUGCCACAGCACAGACCCUGAGUCCACAGGACUUGGGGAAGGAUGGAGGCCAUCAGAGGUCUUUUAGGUCAGGUUCUCACCAAAAGUGGCCCUGUCCUCAGUGGUAUUUCUUCUAACCACAGAGGCUAUUUAUAAUGUCCCAGCUCAUCCAGCCACCACUUAAUAUUGGGGAAAGACUCUGAAAUCCAAGGCCACAGUACCCCAUAGAGCAUCGGGGUAAGGAUGGAGGAGCCAAGGUGGGGAUGGGCAAUGAACCAGUGUGCUCACAGUGACUCUGGGACUCCUGAGAAGAGCACCUGCUGGACAAAAGAAGUUGGAAGUCUUAGGUGAGUAGUCUGAGAAUGUGUGUGUGAAGCAUCCAGGAUACCAACACAACGUCAGAGAAACAAUGUGAAAACACUUGGAAAAUGGUUUAAUGAUGUUUUACAACAGAAAUGAACUGUACAGUUACAGUAAGUUUAAUAUAUAUAAAAAAUUACAGCAGACAAAUGCAUCUACACAAAAUCUACCACUUCAUUCUGAUUCACUGUCACCUACACAACCUCUCCCAAGCCUACAGCCCCCUGCAGGCAGCCCCAGGAGGGGGAAUCAUAUAAAGGGCACUUUUAAAGAGACAGCACCGCUCAUAUUCCCCACCACCUCCUCGGGUCUCAGGAGGUAUCAGCGAAUUCCCCUAAGUGGAAAGUUGCUUGUGUUUCAGGUUUUCAAAAACCAAGAAAAUGUGUUUCCCAGGGGCCCAGGUAACGAGGCCCUAAACUCCAAGUUAUCAGCUGAGUCUUAUAAAAUAUUCCUAUCAGAGGGGAAAUGGCUAACCAGGCUCUCUGGGACAGUAAGGCUAUACAAUAGCCACCCAGAUUGCAAGUUAUCUACGGAGAAAUGUAAAAGGACUCCCGAUAAACUAAUUAGGAAUUGUCACUGCCUCAUUAAAGCUGCUGGACAAUUUUGGAAAGAAUCAUUUACACCACAUCUUAAGUUUCCACAAAAGAGAACUCAAACUCACAUUUUAAAGUUAAGUACAUAAAACAAAAAGUUUUGGGAGGCCAAGGGGUCAAAUCCCUCUUGUGUCUCUCCCUUGACAACAGUGGAAAAACACCCCUGAAUCAAUAUUAAAAAAAAAAAAAAAAAAAGGAAGAAGUGAAAAAGGGUCGGGUAGCUAAGAUAUUCAAAGACAGAGAGAAAGAAAAAGAGCUUUAGAAAAACACGUUCGAUCACUGUCUCUUCAAAACAAAAUCCCAGUUGGGAAUACGGUAAUCAGCAAAUAUUCAAUCCAAAUUGAACCCAGUGGAAGUUUAUUACUGAAUAUUAUGUACACUCAGAACUUUUUUGUUUUCUUUUUUAUUACGAACACCUAGGCAGUGAAAACUGUUAUGUUAAUACAUACAUAGACACACCCAAAACAUACAAAAAUACUAUUAUUUCAAACUACUAAGAAUAGGACAGUUCAGUUAUUUUCAUGCUAUGACUUUAAGAGCAUUACACUGAAACAAACAAGAAGUUAAACGACAUUUUUUUUUUUAAUAUCCCAGAAAUAUACCAAAAUAUACAUCUAAGCUUUGGAAUUACUGAGGUUAGACUAAUGCAAGUGCUGGGUAAUCGUACUUAAUACACAAGUCUAAGGUUCUGCAGGAAAGAAAUUAUCUUUGGUAUCUGCAUCAGGCUAAUAUUAUUAACAUUUGGAUUUUGCUUUGGGAUAGAGCUUGUAUGACCCUAGAACCAAAUACCCCCCCUCCCCCAAUCAACUGAGAUUAAAAAGAUCCAUGUAAAAAGUUCCUUCAUUUGCAACCCCCCACCCCCCAAGUUAAAAAGUCACAGGCAUCUACCUAGCACAAAAGGUUGUGAAAUACAAUGCAUAGUUGCACAGUGGUGCUGCAAAAAGGAAACAAACCUACAAUAAGGAGAAAUGAAAAGCUUGAUAAUCCUUCUGCAUGUUUGCUCACAAACAGGACAGCCACUUCCAAGCAGUUCCAGUAAAGGACGAGAAAAGGCUCAGAAGGG